GCAUUAGUGUUUGGGGGAGAUUUAGUCCAAAGUUAAAAUCUUUGACAUUAAGAAAACAACAUGUUUUCACUGGAUGAUAAAUGACGGGACAUUAGUGUUUGAAACAGAAAAACAGAAAAGGGAACGGUUGGUCAGACCCCGGCGUACUUUCAGACAGAAAACAUUAAAUAGUUCAUUUAAUAAAAGUUAUUUUUAAGCAGCAGGGAAAAUGGAAUUAAGGAGUUAUCCGGCACAUGCACAUUUUCCCCCGGCUUCAGACACACAGAGGAAAUCAAUAGACAUGUCAAAGCUGAGUGUUAAAUCCUAUGAUCCAUAUAUGUGCGGCUUUAGUGUCAUGACCCUCAGCGUGAAUGUGAAUACAUGAACAUGAAACCGAAAGGAUCCUUUUCACACUCUGACCUUUAGGGUUUCUUUUUCUGUCAGUCAAGAUUCAGGUUUCUCUUUUUGUCCUGAAACCGGCAAACACCCAGACAGAUGUUGGCGAACGCUACAAACAGAUUUUUCAGGUUGACUAAAUGAAAGCAGACUCUUCUAAUCUCUGUCACAUGCAGCUGCUUACAGACAAAACAGAAAACCUCAGUGAGAGAGAGAGCCAUUAAAUAAUCAAAGAGUCAUUACUUUGAUUUAAUAUGAAGCAACACUCAGCGGUGUGUGUGUGUUUCUGCGUGUGUGUGUGUGUGUGUGUGUGUCUCAGGGUCAUGUUUUCCUCCCUGCAGGUGACUUUGCACCUUCACUAACUUGAACCCCGACCCUGGCUCUGACCCUGACCUUUGACCUCUCCGUGGCUUUGAUGCAUGCUCAGGGAGUCACCGACCCCGGUUCACGUUUCUGCAUCGCAAUUACAUAUUCAGCGGUGUUUGUGCACAUUGGGUAGAAAGUGGGUGUGAGGGCCCAAGUGCUCCAUUUAAAGAAUGUAAAACAUGUAAAACACUGGCAUCCAGCACGUCCAGCUUCCUUGCUUAUACUUUGCCUCUACAAACACACAGGUGAGUAUAAGAGUUAUGUUGAUGCAUGGAGAUAAUUCAACGUGUUCUUGACAUACGCAAAGUCUUCUCUGAAAACUGUAUCAUCUGGAUGGCAGCUUACUGUUCAGUGUGAAAUAUGACUUCCCAGAUGUGCAAACAAGACAUGCAAUGGUCACUUAUGCAUCUCCCUUUCCAUAACAAUUAUACUACUACUACUACUACUAACAAUAACAAUAAUAAUAAUAAUAAUAAUAAUAAUAAUAAUAAUAAUAAUAAUAAUAAUAAUAAUAAAUAAUAAAUUUUAUUUAUAACACGCUUCAACAGGUGCUCAAAGACGCUUUACAAAAAUAAACACAAUUUAAAAUACAGAAAAUGUUUAGUAAUAAGACCAACGGUGUAGAGGGUUAAAAAAAAGACACAAUAUGAAAAGACUGAAGCUGCCUUUUAAACUGUGUGCUGAAAACAAGCUGGGUAGAAUCUCCUUUCUUAAAAGGGAUACACAAGUUACACACCCGCUCAAGAGAUGAAUGUUGCCGACCACUUGCUUCUUAUAAGUUAUACCAGCUUCAGCAACGACUGCACAAUAGCAAUACACAGCGGUCUACCUCGACCAAAACGCCACUUUAUAGCCUCAAAUAAUGUUCAGAACAGCACCUAACUUCAUCAACAGGACAUAUAGGGUCCCAGCCAUAGUACUAGACACCAAACAUCUUCUUAACUUUGACUCAUUUCUUUAGCAAAGAGACUAAACACAACUCAGCCACUCUCCUCCAGCAGACGCUUGUUUGUGAGGGGAGCCCUGAUGAGUCGAUCACAGAGUGCAGUGAAGUUUCGCAGCUCGAGGAAGAACAUUUAUGAUUAUUACUUCAUAGAAAUGCAAUCAGAGUUUUUGUGCAUCUUGUAUGUUCUGGUAGUACUUCUGCCUUAGUGUCUUGACCUGAUUGCAUUUCUGUGAAGUAAUAAUCAUAAAUUUUCCGCUGCGCUCAGUGAUCUAUAACUUAAAUGUCCUACUUUGUCUGACUGGGAUUUAGCUAAGGCGCAGAGGGGUCACCAGGAAUUCAGGAUCCACUUCUAACCUUCAUUUGUGGAUAAAAUGACACACUCUGUUUAGAGAUGAUAAUGUAAUCAUGGAUUAAUUUAAUCCAAUGUGGGGAUUUCCACUCCAGAGUUAUGCCUUUUUUAUGAGAAGUGCCACCAGAAGGCAAAGAAUCCUUUUUAUGCCGUUAUGAGAGUGGAUAUGACACGCAGCAGAUCAUACCAGGACCAGGAAUCCUUCUUAUGACCCGUGCAACAUGGACUACAGCCUCAAUCUUCGACUUCUACUUUUCUAUUUUCAUUUCUUCCCACUAUUAAACAUUUGCACGUUGAAUUUCUGCUCCACCAACUUCUCUCUCUCUCUGUUUUCCUCCUUAAGUCCCUCUGUAAUUUCCUCCUCUCUCUCUCUGUCUCUCUGGUUUUCCCAGGGGAUGACCCUUCCACAUCCCUGAUUCAGAACAAGAACAGCUUUAACCCCGGACACACACACUUGUCCGCGCACACACGGGGCAACCUCGGCGACUACGGAUCAAUUACUGAAUUAGCAUCCCAGACUGGAGAACCAGGAGGAGAAUGAAUAAGAAAAAAAAAACGAGUUAUUUUCAUCGUUCGCUCUCCUGACGACCUCUAUAUCUCUGUCAUCGAUCUCCACUGUCUGACCAGAUUUCGCUCGCAUUGUCUGAACGUCAGCCGCAACAAAAUCAAAACAACAGCUUGUUCCAAACUCAUGUUCAUUCAUUACUUUUGAGGAGAUGCAGAAGUUUUCUUGCUCAAGAAAAAAAUGUGGAUUUUCUUUUGCAAAAGUCGCCGACAUUCCUCACCAUAAAUAGACAAAAACCUCUCUUAUUUGAGUCGUAUUCACACACACAAACACACACACACAAACACACACACACUGAGUUGAAACCAGAGCCAUGUGAUUUUUUGACGGUAACAUGAACCUUUUCUUUUUAAUCUAAUGCUCUCAUGCCCCUACAGGAACCUCACCAUGGUAAUCUUCACUGUGUCUGUGUGUGUGUGUGUCUGUGUGUGUGCGCAUGUAAAAGGAAGCAAAUGCAAAACCAACACAUUAUCUUAUACAUCAAAUACCUGACUUGUCUUUCACAUUCCUGCGUUGUAAUGGGAUUAGAUUGUAAUGGGAUUAUAACCGACAGCUUCCUGAUCACAAUGGAAAAGGUCCUGAGUCUUGAACCUGACGGGGGCCCGAAGAGGGACCAACAAGGACCAACGAGGGGGGAGAGAAGACCUGUUUUCACCUAAUUCAGUCUAAUUUGCAUAACCACCUGAUCUGCACUGGCUGCUGCAACUCCUUACUGGCAGGCCUCCCUGCAGAGGAUUCAACAUGCAGCAGCCUGUCCGGUUUUUAGUCAACCCAAAACAGCACACCUCAUAUAAAGAGAGUCGACACUUUCUAUUCAAGGAUGUUUGAAAAUUUUAGGGAGUUUACCUAAAAAAGGCACAAAACUGUCUACUUUAAAAGGGAACAUUCCAAGGUGAAAUUAAUUUAGGGUCAAACACGCCGUAACACCGAGUCAGCAACCCCGUCAAGGGAUGAAUGUUGUGGACUGCUUGCUUCUCUAGUUAAACCAGCUUUAGUAUCGACCGCAUGAUAGCAAUACACAGCGGUCUAUGUCUCCACACACAAACCUCAACCAAAACGCCACUCUAUAGCCACAAAUAAUGCUCAGAACAGCAACUAACUUCAUCAACAGAACAUAUAGGGUCCUAGCCAACAAAUAUCUUUUUAGCUUUGCCUAAUUUCUUUAGCAAAGAGACUAAACACAACUCACCUACCCUCUUCCAGCAGCCGCUUGUUUGUAGCGAGACCUCAGGCCAGUCCAUUACGAACUACAGCGGGGUGACACAGCUCGGUAUUACAGUGUGUUUGACCCUAAAUUAAUUUUACACCGAAAUAUCCCUUUUUCUUGCUGUAGUAUCCCCAUCCAGCCAUCAAUGGUUUAACUCUUUACUAAUGUCUCCUCAAAACAAGAGCUCCACAAGACCAGACAAACAAAAAUCAAGCCAAAAACAAACCACCGCAUACAUACAAAUCAGAUACGGUGAAGAUGGUCAAAUAUGGUGAAUGAAGAAGUAAAUUCAUUGAGAUACUGAGCUGGUAAAACCUCAAGCAAACAUUCAGCGAGUAAAAAAGUGAGAAACAAACAUUUUGGACCCAAAACACAAAAAGCCAACAACAAACCAAACAUUGGUGUCAUUCAAAUGAAGCAGCACAGGCCUCACUCAACACCAGGCCAACAGCUAGCAUGGCCGCCUUCAUACCAGAUCCUCUCAACAAACCAAAGCCUCAUUUCUUGAUCGAAACACAGUCCAAGAAAAAAAGGGAAAACUUACCUUAACACCAAAUCCAGCUGGGUGUUGUCCAUGAGCAGCAAGAAGAUUGUCCCUCAGCAACUUUCACACCUUCUGCUCCUACCUUCUUCUACUUCUUCUUCUUCAUUAAAUUGGCAGUUGGCAACCAUCUUAAGGAGCCUUACUGCCACCUACUGGACUGGAGUGUGGCACAGGAAAUUAAGCAGAAAAAAAAGAUAUAUGCCUAUACACAUAUAUUCUCACAUAGCUCCAAAGUUAAACUCCUUACAAUGAGCCAGUCUCCUUCAAGUACUUCAUCUAUGACUUGAAUACUUUGUCAGAUUUUGACCCUAACAGAUUCUCCACAGUGAUUUUGCCCCUACCUGCCACCAUUUCCCAUUUACAUCCUGCUUCCUGUCACCUGAGCAGCAAACCUGGCUUCAAAAUAAAAGCCCAAACCUUGCAUCUCCAAAAAUCAACACAAAGAGGAGUAAAAUACCGAAGAAUGAAGCAUAAGAACAAAAACCAACCAAACAAACAAACAAAAGGGUAGAUUAAAUACUGGAAAAGUAAUUUUAAAAAUUACAGUAUACAGUAUUUUUUUUUUGGUUAUGUUUUUGCUUUGUUUUUGUUUUUAUUUGUAUUUAAUAAUGAACACAAUUAUGCCUCGAUAAAAGAUCAUUGUUUCAUCUCCAUGCCCUGAGUUUGGGUGUUAUGUUCAGCGAGGAGGAGACCAAGUUUUGACAAGUCUCCCUUCAUCCCAAACACAUACUCUUUUCACACUCUGCCUCACUCUUUCACUCUACACAUCCUUCUCUCCUCCUGUCAUCCCCUCCUCUAUUUUCAGACUUCACUCUCCACCCAACUCCUCUAGUCCCAGACAUGUCGACAGCAUUUUUUCCCAGAGAGGACGGACACACUGCAUAAAUUAUUUCAGAAGUCCUGAAAGAGGGAUUGAGGACAUCAGUGAAGAAACAUCCUCAACCCAAACUUUUAAGAAAUCAGGGUUUUGGUUUUCGUGCUGAUGCAGAAAUUCUCUAUAUCGUGGCAAAAAUAAUAAGAUCUUUGCAAACAUUCAUUCUAGGUUUUCAUUUAUGAAUUUAGAUUUCCAAAAUAAAACAAUCUUAAAGGAUUUCCCUGUUUGAAACUGCAUUUUCUGACAAUCUCACUGAGCUUUCUGUGAGAGAAAACAGACGCCCUGUGGUGAAAGUAAAUCAGUACAGUGAAGAAAGACAGACAGACGAUGAAACUUUAAGUAGACCUGAAGGAAAAUACUGUAUUCAGUGGAAAUCAUCUGUGAAAUCUGCACUGCAAGUGGGAGAAUUUCACAAUAAAAGUUUGUCAUGUUUCCAUAACAGCAUUUUGCACCCAGUCGUGUAUUUUUAUCAUUUCACCAUUGCAGUUUGUACUUUUAUUAAUCCUGAUUUUAAGGUAUGAAUUAAGACACAAGACCUGAACUUUUAGUACUACAUAAAAAAUCAAGCAUUUUCACCCCAAUGCUCCACUUUAAACCCUCUCUUAAUUUGGCGAAUAAGCUCUUCAGAAGACUACAUUUUCCCGCUCUAACAUGUGCCGUAACAGCCUGGGUCUUAAGUUACCUGUGGGGUCUGUCACCAUGAAAGAGUUUGAGUGAUAAAGAGUCAGAGAGGAGCGAGUUAGACUCUGAGUGUCGACAUGAUGAAGGAAGAGAGAGAUAAUGGAGAGGAAGGGAAGUGUCGGGGCGAUGAGCUGACAGCGAUGUCAAAACUUCGUCUGGCAAAGAGGUGAUGGAGAGAGAGAGAUGAAGAAGGUAGAGUUAUUGUGACCACUCUUCCAAGGUUAUGGUCAUCCAUCUUUCAUUACCUUUCACUUUUCUUCCCAGUUGUGUUUGAGGAGGUGUUGAAAUUCCACGUCUCAUGAGUUUAGGGUCCCACUAGUAUUAUGUAAUUGAUUUCUUUGAGUGGGUACAGUUGGAGUUUCCAUGUGGAGUCAGCGUGUUUGUUUGACUCCAUGUAGCCAAGUGCUUCUGCAGGCCAUGUGGUGACAGAUUCAGGGUUUUAUUUCAGGUCACUGUACGGAGAAGGGUCAGCGACUUCAACAUGUCGAUUCCAUUUACAGCGAAAUGAAGGUAGUAGAAAAGUUAAGCAACUCAGACCCAGUCCUGCAAGUGAAAUUACAAAACCAGCAGGUGAACAGUUUGAGAUAAAGAUGCUUAUAUCCAGUUGCAGUUUGUAGUGUUUUUUGCUGCCUUCCAGUUACCUCAGUAGUCGAAGCUGGCAAUGACAAUACACCCAAGUUGACGGUGUUCCAGUAAACAAGUUGGAAAACCAAGAUGGACGCCUACUGUUAGCCGUUGUUAGCUGUUGUUUACAAUUGUCAGCUGUUGUUAGUUGUUGUCAGCUAUACCAGUUUUAAACAACGCAUAAUACAGUAUUUUACUCAUACAAACACCAUAGCACCGCGUUCACAGUUAGACAUUGAACAGUACAACACAUACCACUUAUUUGUUGAUGUAAAUGUCAGCUUUAUUUAUAGAGCACGUUUAAAAAUAGCCAGUGGCCUACCAAAGUGCUUUACAGUAAUAUAGCCAGAAACAAUAAAAACGAAAAAAACAAUACAAGCAUAAAACAUAUGAAGACGUAAAACAACGAUAGAGAUAAACAUAGUAAUUAAAUAAAAGACACAAUAAAAGAAGCUAUGCUUCCCCAAAAGCUAAAGUGAACAGGUGCGUCAUAUUAAAUGCGUAUUUAGUUUAAAAAAAACAAAAACAGGAGUGCUAGUAAAUAAUACAUAUGAAGACGUAAACUGUUACUCUUUACUGUUGAUGCACUGUGCUGCCAUCUUGGAUAAUGACGUUAUCGUCAAAUCAGGGUUGGUGAAGAUUGUCCAACUUUCCAAGUCAGAAAUCCGAUUUCAGGGGGGCAUUCCAGAUGAAUUUCUGACUCGGAGCUUGGAAAUUCCGACUUCAGAGUUCAACUGGAACGCAGCAUUUAUGUCUGUUUUCUUCAAUUUGGUUGAUGACUCUUUUGUGCUUUGACAUCCAUCCAGAGGUGGGAACAGUUUAUCAAAAGUUUAACUCUGUUCACCAAUAAUCCAUUAACAAAGGCAUCAUCUUCACUAAGUUCACUAACAAUGUUUAAAGUCAAUGGACUUUUACAUUAUCCCCUCCCCUACCCAGCUGCAAUGGAGACAUUCCCACGAUCCAAAUCCAGUAAUAGAUCCAAAUUAAACACAUUAUCCCCGUACAGAUCUCAUGGAUUUCUCUGAUGGUACAAAGACACAUGGUGAAAUAACAUGUUAUGCAAAAGUCAGGAAGUACACGUAGUCCUCCUCGCUGACCCCUUAGCAUGUGCAUGUUCUAAAUAACCAACGAUCCUGCACCUGCUCCCCUGCACUGCACAAAACCACAUCCAUCUGCUUUAUCGCUGCGUAAGGAAGUAGCCUGUUUUGUGUCCGUUUACACGAAAAUGACAAACUCGUAUUUCCCACGAGGGGUGUAUUUGUCCAGCAUGCAUCUUUAAUUGAAGCUAUGGGACUGAGAGCUAAAGUUAGUCUUUAUACCGUUCACAAAGUCAGCUGGAAUCCACAUUAAAACGUCUCGGUGACGUAAAACUGCAGAAAAACAGCCUUUUAAAAUACUUCAUAUUCAUUUUUUCUUCUAAAUACAUACGAACUUUUUAUUGGAGCAGUUAAAUGCAGAGCCUGUCUUGGUUUUAUUCGGUUGCAGUCACCCUAGCUGGCCCCCGCAAGUUGUGUGAAUCAAAAUCUGACUGAUGGGAAAAUGAAUUACUCAGCUGGGAAUCGCCGCUGAAUUCUUUCCCAUGUAGAUGACCUGCGCGGGCCGCUCCGCUGCUCCCCAGCUUAGCAUGCUAACGCCAGCGGAGUGUGUCGGUUGAUUUGUGUGUGCAGAAAUGCGCGGGACCUCGAGCGUUUGUCGUGUGUGUGUGUGCAAAAGACAGAAAUCACUUCCAGAUUUCUUCAUCAUUAAUCAUGCGGAUAUUUAGUCACCAAGAGUUGAGUGCUUUCCCCUUGAGCCAAAAUGUGGGAUUGAUAUGAGAAAACCAGUUUUUUUACAGUGUCCAGGCUGAUUUUCAUGAAAACCAUGAGCUGAUUUUCUUUAAAAGUCUUCCACAGGCUGUCAGAUGGUGUUCAGGGAGAUGUAGAACAUUACAGCUGGAAGCAGAAGUAGACGAGGAAAUUCAGAUGAAGCCAGGGACAAAAACGUGAUCAAUUUAAAGGAAUGCUUUGACAUUAUUGAGAUCUGUUUGUUUUCAAUCAAAAUAUCUGUUUUGUAUUUCACGAUUACAUAAAUGUCUACAACCAGCAAUUGAUAAGUGUAUUUAAGCCGAAAGAGUGGAAGGAUGUUGAAUGCAGAGGAAAACUCUUAUGGUAUGAACAGAUUUUCUCCAGAUUCAGUCCUCCGGGGUCAAUAACUCUUCAGCGAAUCUCUGCUUUGAUGGAGUCAACACUUCUUCUGCAAAUGAUUCUGCGCAUGGCUUGCAGAAAGUCCAAUGUGCAAACUUUUUGCAGGAUUGUGCAAAGGAUUGGUGGCAGUAGCUCAGGAGGUAGAGCGGUUGGCCAAGAACCAGAAGGUUGGUGGUUCAAACCCCACCCUAUCCCUCGUCUGUCCAUUGUGUCCUUGGGCAAGACACCUAUCCCACCUCGCUCCCAGUGUUUGUCCUCCAUAAGUGUGGGUUGUGUGGUGGUGGUUGGAGCGGCCAUUGGAGCAAACUGGAUGCCACGUUUCCAUCAGUCUGCCCCAGGGCAGCUGUGUCUACUGAGGUAGUUUUCCCCCACCAAGGUGUGACUGUGUGAGUGAAUGAAUGAUGUAUCCAAUGUAAAGCACUUUGAGGUACCUGACAAAAAGUGCUAUAAAAAUCUUAUUCAUCAUCAUCAUCAUUUUUCUGUCAUAUCCCCAAGGGUUAGGGUUCCAGUCCAGCGGUUCAGCUAAUGCACAAAUCUUUACAAAUCUAUGCUGAUGUAGGAGGUGAAAAGAGAAUGCUUAAAUAAAAAUUAUUCAAAAUUUCCAUCAAAUUUAGGAACUGAUGAGCCUGAGCCCUUUUCAGAAAUGCACAACUCUGCUGCAAAUGUCCUGACCUCACCCAGAGGGAGUGCAUGUGUGAACAAAAACAAAUACUUGGAGAGUACAAUCACCAGCCUGGAAUACAUAUGUGAUACAAGAGCAGUUGCACUUUGUUUUUUAGUGUUAAUCAGAGGGAUAAAGGUUUGAGCUGUCAGACUUUUAUUGCUUUUAACAAAGUCAGCAAUGUGCAGUUUAUGUGCAGAUGCGAAGCACCAUCUGUUUUCGCCGUCCUGCUGGCUUAAAGGACAGUAGUUAAGGUCAGCGGAGGUGGUGUUUAUAGUUUUAAGGCGCAGACCUGGGCUCCAACUGCGAAGCAUAUGAAAGUUAAGUAAUAUCGAAGUCUGCUAACUUUAAUGAGUAAACAAGCAGAAAAAAAUCAGUCCCAGGCCGGAGGAAACGUGACUUUGAACUGAAACGUGACUUUGAACUGAAAUGUGAUUUUGUUGUAGCUCCAGAGACAAAUACAGACAAAAGCGGUUGCAGAUGAUUUUAAGGGACGGGUACUUUCACAUGUAACAUGGAGUUCAAAGUCUUUGUUCUGCGGAGAAUAUCGGCGCACAUUAUGUCUCUCUUUAGUUUUCAGCUUAUAAUUUUUCCCAUUUUUGAUCUUUUACAGGAAAAGACACACAAUCUCAGUUGACAACUGUUUUAUGACACUCACAAGAUGCAUUAGAAAAUAACUUGGCUCUCCAAUAAGCCCCAAAUCCAACACAUGCUACAUCAGUAGAAAAUCCCGUGACAGCGAGGGCCGUUAAAUUGCAUAAAAGUCUUGAUUGAUGUGAAAUUUAAGUGUGUGCUAAUAGAUACCAAAGGUUUUAUUGUCCCCCGCCCCGACAUCUUGGCAAUUAAAGAGGCAUAAGAUUUUGUUUUGCAAAUCCUCUGGCUGGUCCAAACGCUGUUAUGUAAUCAGACUUUUCAUAGUGAAUGUCUUUCAUUACUACGUAUACAGCAAAAGAAAAAAAAAACCCUGUGGGAUCAAUUUUGUCUGCUGUAAGAGAUGAAAUAAGGUUCAGACUAUCAAAAGAAAAAAAUAGCUUGACAUACAUUAUCUGUUGUGACACAGAGCCAGUUUUUUGCCCAGAAGGUUGUAACGGUCAAAUGCGCCAAAUUACGUCGCUAGGCACAAAGUUCAUACGAGGUUGUGGUCAAAUCAGGAAUGUAAAAUCUCGACGUGUAAUAUUUUAUACAUUAGUCAUUGUUAAUUUUAAGUUUUUAUUGAGACAUUGAAUUAGAUAGUCAGAUUUGAUUUUCAGCAUUUUUUUAUGUCUGUCCAAGUGCGCCAUGAGUGCUUAAGAGUAGAAAGAUAAGGACAACCAAUAAGGACAAUGAGACCUUAACUGAACAUCCUGGACCACUACCUGAAACAUGGAGUGUUUAAAAAUGGACAUCAUCCCAUUUGUUGAUAAGGCAGUCUUGAAGCUUAUCAGCAGUGGAAAUGCUGACCCAACCCAACUUUCAGUCAACCUACCAAAGGGCGGGUCUUUAGCCACCAAGUAAACAGUUGGAGUACGCCUGCAUGUCAGUCAAGUCGUUGAGCAUCUGAUUCGCCGAUCUUGUAAGGCUAAUAUCUUCAAAAUGAACGUAUUACAAACACAUUCACUCCCCGUACAGUUAGCGCUGUAGGAGCCUUGAGCGAGUCAGACUAAAAUGUGCUUUUAUUCGCUCUAAAAUUGACUCUUUUGGCACAGUGUGUACUUCUGCGACCGUCUUCUAGUGGGCACACAUGGAACUACAGUUUUUCGCACUUCCACGUUAGCUUUAUCUCUCAAGGCUGGAAGUUUCUGCCUGAUCAGGAAGCGAGAAUCUGCAGGGAUUAUCUUGCAGCUAUGUUCUUUUUCAAGUGUGGACAGAUCCAGUAUUGUUUUUUUGUUUUAAAUGAGUGACGAACUACAUAAUCAUUAUCACUCAUUGACGAUGCCGUUUUUCUCAUACUGCAAAUGAGUUGAUGUUGAAAAAUCAACAUAUCAGACUCAGUGUGAGAAGUUUCUGUGUGGCAUUUUUUCUUAGUUAUGGACCUGAAAAGCACGUCUGAGAGACUGCAGGCUCCAAGUGCGGAGACAUUUAGCAUUUAAGUUUACUUCUCUACUCGAACUAAACUAAAUUUAAGUGAGUCGGAUUGUGAAUUUGCAUUAUGGUGUAGUUUUUCAACAAGACGUUUUAGCUGUGGUUAAAGUCAUAAAAAAGAGAAAACCUCAGAUGGAUAGUGUAAAUCAGAAGAUGGGUGACCUGUUGAGCUGUUACAGUAACUCUCUGUGGUGAGACGCCGCCGCCGCCGAACCUCGUGAGGAGCAUACCGAGGGUGGCAAAGAGACGCAGAAUUACAUAAGAGUGAAAAACAAAAAAAGGCCCCAAGGAACAAAACAAUAAAACCAAAUGAUUACCUUGUGAUGACUUUUAAACCCGAUUGCAUUAAAUUCUAUAGUCCAGGAUCAGCGUAUUAAGGCGCAUCAAAGGAGUCUUUGCAUUACAGCGGAUGUUUACCCUCUGAUGGCUUAAAAACACAUAUAAUAGCUGCAUUAUACGAAUUAUGCAACUUAUUCCUCCAUUAACCCACCUCAUUCUGAGAAACAAUUUGGAGCAAACUCAUGCCUCCUGCUGUCCUGAAACAUUAAGAGAAACUAAAAUGUGCCCCGAAGCGUCGCUGGAGUUCUGCUUUGAUAUUUUGAGCCUAAUUUCAUUACCCUUAAAUCUGUUUAUUUCUCUGAGGGUUGGAACACUUGUCAGAAAAACUUGUUAAGCUCGUAAAUCCAGAUUAUAUUAUAUGCGAUCAGCACACCACAUGAGCUUAAUGGAGUUAUUUUGCCAGCCCCUGUUAGGUUUGGUUGACAUUUACAAGUAAAAAGAAAGUCUUUUUUUAACUAUAAACUGAUCUUUUAGUGCUUUCCACCUAGCGGGGUUAUGUACUUCUCAAUAUCUGUGAAACUUUAAAGUACGUGUAAGUUUAUCCAUUUACGAGGGGGAUACUGACUUUCGUUUGUUUUUUCUGCUCUCAGAAAGUAGUAACUUUGACUCACGUCAGAGCUGCAGGCAUCAUUAAUCGAGAGCUGGUUUCUGAGAAGACAUACCGGAGUCCACCCUUUCAUAGUUUCAUUGUCGGGGGGUAAAAUUGCGCCUUUCAUGAACACAGUACUGUCCUGAGGCUCUGAGUUUACCGAAAGCUUUUUUAAAGACCGAACUGCAAUUAAAAUUUUGGUCAUCAGACAGCUUGCUGACUGCACUCAUAAAUUCCUAAAUUACAGUCAGUGGAGAUGAAACAGGAGUGUGAUCGCGUCCCGCUAAAAACUUUCCGAUUUUCUCUUAUUCACAACAACAGAAAUUUAACAAUAACCUCUGAUUGCAGGUACAUGAAACUCAUGCUGCGCUCCAGUUGUACUUGGAAGUCGGAAAUUCCAAGCCCCGAGGUCAAUGGAAUGCAGCAUUAGACCUUUAAUCUGCUUGAUUCGACAUUUGGUAAUGGUACAGCAUCACCUGAUUUGAGUGUAUUUUACUGUAAGUGGACCUGUAAUAGGAGGUUUUCACUUGACGUCACUUCCGUGUUACGCGGCACAUGCGCAAUACAGAUGGAGGGCAGGAAGUGAGUUGCUGCUAUAGAGACCAGCAACAGGCCGAUGUUUUGCUCCGUUUACGGCUACUCGAAUCGAUCGAACAGGGAAAAAAACAAAAUCUUUUAUCGUGUGCCCAAAGUAGUGUUACACAAAGGGGAAAGAACACACCUGAUUCAAAUGAUCAGCUCGUUAUUAAGCCAUUUCAGAGCUUGAUAACGAGCUGAUCAUUUGAAUCAGGUGUGUUGGAGCAGGGAAACAUUUCCCCCGACUACGACCUCAGAUCAGACGAGACGACCCGCUGAAUUUAAGCAUGUUACUAAGUGGAGGAAAAGAAACUAACCAGGAUUCCCUCAGUAGCGGCGAGCGAAGAGGGAAGGGCUCAGCACCGAAUACCAUGGACGGUGUGAGGCCAGUAGCGGCUCCCGUCGCGCCGGGGUACGUGCUUCUCGGAGUCGGGUUGUUUGGGAAUGCAGCCCAAAGCGGGUGGUGAACUCCAUCUAAGGCUAAAUACCGGCACGCAUCUAAACCGGCGCAUCUCCUCCAUUGCAGUCGGUCGCUUCCUGCCCUCCAUU